AGAGGUGUUAUCUGUUUCCUGCAGCUACUGAUCUUUGAAAAAUCUUACCUUCCCCUUUUUCUCCUCUGGCUCUUCUAACACCUUUACAACCAACUGCCUAUUUAAAAACCUAGAGUAGCUUCUGUUUCCUGAUCAGAUGCAGACUGCUAAGAUUGCAUCUUUCGCCUACUUUAACAAGGGACAAAAGCCAUGGGAUAAUACAGCAAGAAGGCCUACACCAGAAGCCAACAUCACACUUUUGGACUUCUCAGCCCCAGAACUGACUUUACCAAAGGGUACAAGAAUGAGCUAACACACUCCAAGACUGUGACAUUUUUCUACGUGAGUCAAGGCUGAACUUCCAUGUUAUUGUCUCCUGUAUACAGAGCAGGAAGCUAAGACUCAAAGAGAUUAAAUAGCAAUUCCGAUCAGUAAAAAGCAGAGCACAGACAUGAAUGAGUUUAUCCUAUUUCAAAAUUAUUAUUCUUUUUUAAAUUUCAUCUUUAUAACUUUUUUAUUUCUAACUACAGAAGUAAGUACAUAAGCAUGACGGAAAAAUUGGAAUAUACAGAAAUGUAUUUUAUAUUUCUUUUCAGUCUCUCUUUCAGAACACACAAAAACACAUGUAGUAUUUCAUCAGGAUCGGUCAUAACAUGUUCUUUCCACUUCUCUACAAAGGUACAGAAUUCUCACCCUCAAGCAGGAAGAACAGCCCCAAGAAUUCCAGGUUGCCAACAGUUUAUUAAUCAAGUGAAAGCAAACUCAAAAUUUUCUCAAGUGAGCUUAUAUUUCACUGUGUUAAUUUUCAGAUAGCCCAUUAUAAUUUAAUAAUACACACACAAGAUUAAUUGAAAUUUAAAAAUAUUUCUGUUUUGUACCUGAUUUCAGAAAUGGUACUAGGGUAUAAUGAAUGUAAAGUCUAACUAAAGAACGAACAAUCCCAGCCACCAAAAAGACAAUCAAUAGAAAUAAAAUAAAGUCCAAUAUCCAAUAUUCAUCCAUUCAUUUAUCAUUCAACAAGUAAUUUUGAGUACCUGUCAUGGGCCAGACUUUGUUUUGGGGCCCAAGGAUAAAACUGUAAACAAAUAGACAAAUUCCCUGCCUUCAGAGAGCUUACACUCCACUAAGGAGAAACUGACAAUAAAUAAAUUGAGAAAAUAUCAGGUUGUAAUAAGUACUGUGGAGAAAAAUAAAUCAGGAUAAAAGGAUGGAAAGUGCUGAGGAAGGAAGUUGCUUUUUUAUGCUAUGUAUUACCUCAGAAUGCCGUAACAAAAUAUCACAGACUGGUUAGCAUAAACAACAGACAUGUAUUUUCUCCCCAUUCUGGAGGCUAGAAGGCCAAGAUCAGGGUUCCAGCCGAUUCCAUUUCUGAUGAGGGCUCUCUUCUGACUGGCUGAUGGCCAAGUUCUUUCUAUAGCUUCACAAGGCCUUUUUUCAGUAUUUGCUGGAGGAGGGAGAGAGAGUGAGCUCUCUGGAUUCUUUUCUUAUAAGAACACUAAGCCAUCGAUAAAGGCCCCACCCUUCUGAUCUCAUUUAACCUUAAUUAGUUCCCUAUUCCAAAUACAGUCACACUGGGUGUUAGGGUUUCAAUAUUUGAAUUUUGGAGGGGUACAUGCCUUCAGUCCAUAACAUACAGGUUAUUCAGAGAAGACGUCCCUGAUAAGAUGUGGUAGCUAACUUUCAGGAUGACCCUCAGUGGGCCUCAUCUUCUGGUGUUCACACCCUUGGAUAGUCUCUUCCCAAAUAAAUUAGGAAUUGGGACUGGUCUCAAUGUGAUAGAGUCAAGGGCUGGUCUCAGUGCAACAGAGUAGAGCAGAGAUUAAGAUAUUUCACCUCUGAGGCUGGGUCAUAAAAGGCACCAAAGCUUCCACUCUGUUUUUUUGGAUCACUCUCUCUGGGACAAGCCAGCCUCCAUGGCAUAAGGACACUCAAACACCCUUGGGAGAAGACCAUGCGGGAAGGAAGUCAGACUUCCCACCAAGAGUACUAAUUUGUCAAACAUGUGAAUGAGCAAGCUUGCAAGUGGAACCUCCAGCCCCAGUAAAACCUUCGGAUAUCUGACUGCAGCUCCAGUUGAAGUUUGAACUCCAACCUCACUGGAAGCCCUUAACCAGAACCACUCUGCUGAACUGAUUCCAAAUUCUUGGCCCCAGAAAAGAUGGUCAAGGACAACAUUGUGUAGUUAUAGAUAAAUGCAUUCAAACUACCAAUUGUGUUUCAAGGUGAUCAAGGAGGCUGGGAGAUUGUCGGAGCUGUCACCAAGAUGUUCUUGUCUCCUGAUAGAGGCUGAUGGCACUCAGAGUACCCACCUCACCAACUGGAGUCAAUGAACUGUAACCGAGGGCUCCAGAAACCGUGCCUGUAAUUGCAAAAUCUUAAUUCCAAACACAGUCUGACAAGUGUAAAUGUACAUAGGAGGACAACUGCACGGGCUAUGUGAAAGCAGGACUUCCCAGGAAUUCCAGAAUGGUGAUCACCAACAUCAAUAAUAAAAGUCAUUUGUAGUCAGAGCAAGUAGGUCAAGGUGUCAAAGGAUGAGCAUGACAUGUCAACACUGUUGCUAAAAUUGAAAAGUCUUCAACGUCUUCUCUGCUUGUUUGCUUCUUUUCUGGCACCUUCUGACUUCCUUUCUCCCUCACCCUUCAACCCCCAGCAGCCCAAUUCCUUGUCUGUGAAAGCCCCACAAGGAGGCAUCCAAUUUAGACAUAACCCUCUGGGGAACAGCUUAAAGCUCCAAAAUUACGUCUUUCUUUCUCUCUUUCCAUUUCACCCAGCGAAAUUUCCAUUUCCUCAUAGAAUCAUGAGCAUUGGAGCCAUGCAGUGCUAAGUUGCAAACCAAGCCAUGCCAUUUACAAGCUAAUGAAAUUGGGCAUGUUAGAUAACAUUUCAAAGCAUCAGUUUCCUCAUCUGAAAAAUGGGAAUAAUAAUAGCCCUAACUCACACAAUUGUUGAGAGAAUUCAGUGAGAUAAAGCAUGUAAUGUAGUUUGCUCAAUAUAUGGCCCAUAGGGAGAGCCUAAUUAACCUCAGUAAUUAUUGUUAUUGCUGCUACUACUAACAGCAACAAAGAUAAGAAAAAGCAAUAGCUUUAACCGUCCUAUGUAAAUGUGUCUAUUUUUGAAAAGAAACUUAAUUGACAACUUAGGGGAAGUACUCAUUCACAAUUUGUAUUUUGCAUCCACUGUUUUUUGCCUGUGGGGCUUUCUGUAGAACAGAUUGUGUAUCUCUUACUGUAGUAAAUUUCAACAUUCCUUUUCAUAGAAAUCCAUCGGCUCUGAAAUAAGAAACUUUUAUACACAGCCUGUAACCAGCACAAGCCAUGCAAAACAAUGCAUUAGCCCAGAGAUUCAUUG
rnacentral:lncRNA from 1 species